UACAAACAUAGAUGCUGACCAUCUAUUCUCAUAUGCUAUACAAUCACUACACUAUUAUCACUCUAAAAAAAUAAUAUCACUAUUUGAUAAUACGUGUGACAAACUGUCUCAAGAGAAGCCUAUCUCAAGAGAAGCCUAGGGGUAAUGGUUUAAAUUUUAUAGGACAAGCCUCCAUUUAUGAAUUGAAGUCCCUCUUGAGUGAAGAUGGACUACAAUUUCCUUACAAACAGUAUCGCUCAUGAACUUACCUCCC
rnacentral:lncRNA from 1 species